GCUUGAUGGCUGUAAACUGGGGCGGUGAACAAGUGCGUUCUCUUUUCUGUUUUUCUUUUUCCCAGGAGUGAGAUGGGGGAGGAAAAACAGUGGUCUUUGUUGUGAAGCCACAGUCCCAAACUUCAACCUAGAGGAAUGUUUAAGUUCUGAAAAAAGUUAACGUUGAAGGCUUGCAAUUAUGUACUUAGUCACAACAAGAGGGUAAGAACUUUCAAGGCACUGGAUUGAAGAGACACAAAAGUCAGGAAGUGACCCUUUCGUCGGGAUUUCAGAGGCCGCGGACGAGAAACAAAGUCCUCUCACAACUCGGAGAACUUUGGGCCGUACCAUCCAGAGGGGCAGGGGUGGCAGAGCCGGGGAGAGGGCCGUGGAAACUGACAUCUUGGUUCUCAACGAGCCGUGAGUAAACUCAGGAUUUCCACCCUGAAAAGAUUCAGUGUCCGCAGAUCCCACGCCCUGAAAUGAAAACGGGGUUCGGCGGAUCCUCCUUGCGGAGCCUGCCGAAAUAGAAGCCGGGGUGGCCCUGGCCAGAGCCGGCCUCCUGAAUUGGGGUCUGUGCGCGCCCGCCCGGGCCGCGCGCCCGGGUCUCUGGAUGGCCUGCCGGGGCCAGCCCAUCUGCGGCCGCGCGGCCGGGAGGAAGCCGGCCCCGGGGAUGAAUGGGGCUUUGUUCGCCGGCAGCCGCGGCUGCCCUCGGCAGGCUCGGCCCGCACAACGGAGGCUGUAUGCGAGCGGAAUGGAAAUGAGCCUGCGGGCCUCCCGAAGGAGCCCCGUCCCCUUCCCUUCGCUGAGCGGAGGAAUGCUGGCAAGCCGGAAAGGAGCCCUCGCUGGGAACGCUUCUCUCGCGGCUCUGAAACCCCAUUGAGAAGAGCCCUUUGAUGCAAUUAAAGCCCAUUUCAUUGCAGGCCUGGGAGGAGCGAAGGCCCGUCCAGCUUUUUUUCUGUCUCGAGCGUAUUUGUGUGUGCACCUUUGUGGGGCGGGCGACUUAGAGAGCAGGCGGGAACUGGAGCCCCGUCUCUCGCAGACGUUCUGUAACAUCGUAAAGGCGCACCCAUAAACAGAUUGGUUUUCACCGUGGGUGGAACCCAAUUUGGACAAGAUCCAGGCCGACCUGCAGGCCGGAGUUCCUGCUUUGAAAGGCUCUUUGGUACGACUCACAGCACCUGCCCUGCUGUAAAGGUUUAGGCGGACAAGAAAUUGCGUUUGGAGGAGGAAGUUUUUCUGAGGUCAUUUCUCCUGGUUUUCCAUUUUCUGAGGUGGAGUGGGCUAUGUCGCAGGUCCAGAACUGAUCACAGUAAAAUGAUGUAACCUGAAAACUUUGACCUUCUUGGAUGCGACAGUUAUUUGAUACUAGGAUUAUUCUCUAAGAUUUCCCUGCUUCCUCCAUUGAGACAACUGUGUGGCCCCAGAAAACCCAUAUAGCCUCUCUGAGUUUAAUAUUUUUCAUCUGUUAAAAUGAACAUAAAAAGGCCAGAUAACUGAUACCAUAAAGCUCUGGGUGCUGGUGGAAUUCUUUCUAAAUUGGAGGUGAGCACCUUAUCUCCUGGCACAUGUGGAAGAUGUAUUGGACUGGAACUGCCGUAAACGUCGAUGUAAAAAUAUCGUACAGUUCCUGUUUUGUUGCCUUUGUACCACUUAUUACUAGGGUUAAUAGUCUUAUGUCUGUUUUCACUAGAAUAUAUCUCCUUGAGGACAGGAACUGUCUUUUAUUCUGGCAUCCCCUGUCCCCAGAGCAGCCCCUGACCAUCGUAAGUGGGCAACAAAGUGGUAUAUAAAGAAUACUACCUUGUUGCCGUUUUCUGUCACUUAAAAUGUAAACAAGAAAUAGGAGGAGCUCAGUGGGUAUCGGGGAUUCUUGGCCAAGUAGAAGUUUGAAGGAAACGGCAGGAAAACAUUCUGAGCUCAAAAACAUGCUGCAAAUGUUUUCUGAAAUGACCCAAGGCAGAGUGGGGCACUGAUGUGGAGGAGUCAUUCUUUUUCCCUGAGUGGAUAGCUAAUACUGGCAAACUUGAAUCACGUUUUAUAUUUGCAAAGGGGUGUACAGAGUUGAUCAUUCAUUCUUUAAACAUCCCAUGGAUAUGGGACAGUAAGGCACAGUGGCUAUGUGUGAUGGCCAUCAUUGUUUCUUAUGUAUUGAUCUAAAUAUGUCUCCAUGGUUCUUGUUAUGUUGGGCCUUCUUUAGACCUCUAACUUGAGUGUUUUCCUCUGAGGGCUUGAAUACAUGAAUAUUUUUCCCAUUCAGUAAAAACCAGUACAUUUUUGCAUCCAAAUGAGGAAGCUCAUAAAUGAGACAGUAGAGGACAUCCUACUCCAAAUACAUCUCCAGGUAUCUGCAGGAAAUACCACUGAAGUAACACUGACAUAAACAAAUGGAUGUUUCCCUCAUCUCCCCAAACUUCCUUAACACACACACACACACCCCGAUCAGGAUAGUGAGAAAUAUAAAGUCCAGUUUACAGAUGGAAACUCAGUGAUUCCUUGUUUGUGUCAGGGUACAGUAUGCCCAACAUACUUUAUUUCUUGUCAUGAGGCCCUGCCUAGCUGUCAUUCUGGGUUGCAUUUUGUUUUGAUGUGGAUAUCAUCCCUGAGAGUUGAGACUCUUUUCAGACUGUUUCUUACUGUCUAUUUAGCCAGGUGGGCACAACCCACAUCAAAUCCCACAUAUGAAAUGAUUCUCGGAUAGAACAAAAGUUAUAUACAGUAACAGUAGCAAUGUCCCUCACUUUACAGAACUCCUGAAUUUUCUCCAAAUUAUUGAGUAUUUCUGUUUCCUUCUGACUUACAGUAUUUCUUUGAGAGCAGCUUUAUCCUUAUUUCAGAUUGGGUCAUUAAUAGGGAGUGACUUGGAUCAACCUACCUGACUCUACCAGAUAAUUAAUAAUCCAAAUGGAUCGUUGAAGGCCAGAAUGGGAGGUUCUUAUCUGAUUACAUUGAUAGAGUCAAUAAUGCCAUGUGAACAGUCAUGUCUCAUACAUUUAGAUGUAUUUAGUUUUUAAAGGACUAUACCUAUUUAUUUGGAAAUCCUCAGGAUUUGGUAAUACCUUUUAUUUUAAAAACCUAGAACUGCACAUGCCUAGAAAUAGUUGGUGAGAUUGAAGUUUGCAGAGAUAAGUACCUAAAGAGAAGAAAGCAAAAACUAUCAUUCCCUAGUGCAGAUUAAGAAAUUAUUUCAGAGAGGUAAAAGUGGCUUGUCCAUGGUCACAAACCGUGGAAUUACAAUUGCGUCGCUAUUCUCUUGAUUUGCAAGAUAGUCAUUACAGUCUCUGGUGUUUUAAUGCUAGGAAAGCCUGCACUUUAGACAGUGACCAGAUCCUGGAUCCCAAAGGACAUAUGAAAGCUAGUUCAUCUAAUCUGUUAGAUUGGAGUAGCUAUAUCACAUACUGCCUUUCCAUUUUUGAAAGAUUUAAUUAGCUCAACUUCCCUUUUUUUCUGUCUUGUUAUUUGUCCAGCAGCCAGAAAAAUGAAGAGAAGACCUCUCCUUUAUUUACCACACGAUCCAUGGCGUUCUUAGCUAGUGCACUCUAGAAGUUAGGGUGGAGACUUUUAUUUGUCCUGCUUUUUUGGCAAUAAAAGGGGAGGGGAUGCCUCAUUCAGCCAGUCUUUGGCUCCUAAGAAACCAAAAAGCAAUGCUAUUCACUAGUCUCUAGGCUACUAAGUGCCAGAGUGGCCUGUGUUGACUCAAAUUCGUGUCCUUGCAGCUAGGUGGGGCUCUCUAGAGCUGUUAGUCCUGUGAGGUUGCCAGGGCAACUUAAAUCUUCUGAGCUUCGAAGGCUUCAAGAAGUACAAAGAGGAGACUACAGGGCACAUUACAACUUACAGGCAUGUGUUCAAUAACAUGUCAUCUUUUGGUAAUGGGGCUUUUAUUUUUAUUUUAUUUUGUGGGAUUGAAAGAUCAGAAGCCGGAAAUUAGCUGGGAAGGAUAAAGAAAAGGAAAAAUUAAAGGGGGGGGGGCACUAUUUCUGUUCCUUAUGUGGGCAAUGGUUAAACAAGGAGAACAUCUGGUCCUGGAGUGGGUCUCUGCAGCACUGCUUUUAGUUACCCCAUCAUUUGGUCUCAUGCUAAAUUAGUGACUGUGGGAGCAGCUCAGAUCUCCAUACUGACAGACCCAGAAAGCCCCACUUAGCCUGCCACAUAGUCAGAGGGGAAACAUGGAGCUUCCGGUUUCAUAUUUAAACCAGGGAUUGACUCAUAAUUGUAGCUGUCAGGAGGGUGAUGGAGACAUUAUGUAAUCUGGUUCUUAUGGCGAUGUGUGUUUAAGGUUUCUGCUCUGUGAAUUCCAGAGGAAAUUUCAAGUCCAUUGAGAGAGAGCUCGCUGGCUGCUCUGUGGUGUGCCCUGCAGGAUAAUGACAGUGCUAUUAAAGGUUCCUCAGUCUGCCUGAAUCCAAACAUGAAUGAAUUUCCCCCUGAAAGGCUCUCCUGUUUUUCCACAGACUUUUAAAUGUGGAUGAGGUUAGGCAAAAUUUGGUAAACUGCGAGGAGGCAGUAUGUUGGCCCAGUAGGGAAAUUUAAUAAUGACAAGCCGUUCUGGCCCACACGUAUUUUUUUCUGGACCACACAGUUCCCCUAUCAUUUACAGCCUUAGAGAUUCUGGAAGUGGACACCAGUUGCUCCUAGAAACAAAGCGCUGGGGCUGUGGAUCAUUUGUUCCUUUUAAAUUCUGCUUGUUACUUGCCUCUUGGAGGCCUCUGAGCUAGUAUAAAUGUGCAGGGUGGCCAGGGAAGGCUUGAGACAGACCCAGUGUUUGCUGCCAUGGGGUAAAAAAAGUCAGAGGAAGCUGUUUAAUUUUAACCUUAAAGGAAUGUGUUUUCAACAGUUUUGCUGGAGGGAGACUUCUGUUUUCAUUUGAUUGUUCUCUGAAUUCAGUUAGUUGUACUUGCAUGAUAAGAAGGAUUCAUUAGAUAGAGAAUAGUAUUCAUAUCAGGAGAAUAAUAGUAAAGACUAAAUAAAAGCUUAAAAGGUGAAUUGAGAAGGGGUUUGUUUGCUCGUGGGGAGUAAUGGUGGUGAGGAGUGGAGAGGAUGGAACCCUCUGUCACUCUCUGGUUGCUGGUCUGGCUGGUCCAGAGUUUCUCACCUCUGCUUUUUCACCUUUCCUUCCUCACUUGGAGAAUUUUCCAGGCUACCAGUACUUGGGGUUCUUUGCCUGCCUCUUCAUGCCGGUCAAAGACGACAAUGGUAGUUAUAAAGUAGUUUUAGCCAAAAUUAAUAACUAAAUGUGUGAAAAUGUGUAUGUCAUUAUCAUCAUUUGUAUUGUAACUGACUGUCGUAAACUAUUUUUUCUAGAAAAAUGAGCAAUUUGGACAACUGGAUAUUUGCUCUUUGGUCUGUGGAAUGUGUUAUUGGGAAUGGGUAAUUUUUGCUUUUCAUGAAGAAAGUUAUUUUAAUUAAAAAUAAUAUAAAAUACUAUUAUGUUAAUAUAACAUGUUUAAUAAAACAUAAGAAUAUGUUUAAUAUACUUGUGUAUUUGUAUACACAUAGAAAUGUAUAUUUAAGACUUCCCUGGUGGUGCAGUGGUUACGAAUCCACCUGCCAAUGCAAGGGACAUGGGUUCGAGCCCUGGUCCGCGAGGAUCCCACAUGCCACGGAGCAACUAAGCCCGUGCGCCACAACUACUGAGCCUGCACUCUAGAGUCCUCGAGCCACAACUACUGAGCCCGCAUGCCUAAAGCCCAUGCGCCACAACAAUGAGAAGCCCACGCACCACAAUGAAGAGUAGCCCCUGCUCGCUGCAACUAGAGAAAGCCCAUGCGCAGCAACGAAGAUCCAAUGCAGCCAAAAAUAAAUAAAUUAAUUUUAAAAAAUUUAAAAAGAAAUGUAUAUUUAAAGGAACAAUGAAAAGUUUCCCCCAUUCUUUCAGUCUCAGACGGUGAAAUCUUUAUUAGGCAACAGUGACAGUGUAAUGACUUGAUUUCUUCUCUCCCAUGAGAAUGAAGUUUCAUAUGAGUAUUAUUCAGUCACCAUAGCUUGGGACAUUAUCGUAUGACUGCUGCAUGAUGCAGGGAUGGGUAAUUUCAUGAGCUGUCUCGCCUAGGUUUGUUCAUUUUCCUAGUCAUUGAAAUGAAAAGACUUGAUGUGAUUCCUGUUGAGCUACUUCCAGAGGCAACCGUCCUUGUAAUGAAUUCUCUCCAUCAGAAAAUUAGAUGGGAUUUUGACUCCUUUCACAGAUGACACCAUUGAUUCUACCUAAAUUGGAUGGACUCAGUGCCUACCUCCCAUCCUCAGAACGCAGCAGGACUCAGAAUCUAGUGCUGGGACAUGGCAAACCAUGUCAGAUAAAGAAAUUGAGACCCAGAAAACUUGGGAAAUUUGCUCAAAUUCACACAUAAAUAAAGAAUGGAGUUGUGAAUGGAAGCCGAGCUGUUGGAAUCUAAGAAUUCAGGAUACUGUUUGAGAAGAUAAGAAAGUGUUUCAGGCCUUCCCUGGUGGCGCAGUGGUUGAGAAUCUGCCUGCUAAUGCAGGGGACACGGGUUCGAACCCUGGUCUGGGAGGAUUCCACAUGCCGUGGAGCCACUAGGCCCGUGAGCCACAACUACUGAGCCUGCACAUCUGGAGCCUGUGCUCCACAACGAGAGGCCGCGAUAGUGAGAGGCCCGCGCACCAUGAUGAAGGGUGGCCCCCGCUUGCCACAACUAGAGAAAUCUCUCACACAGAAACGAAGACCCAACACAGCAAAAAUAAA